rnacentral:ncRNA from 1 species
UCAUCUCUAUCUUUGAAGUCAUGUUUAAAAUGAAAAAAAAUAACUGGUGGUGGAAUAACUUACGUCAAACUUCGUGAGCUAAACUGCUAUUUUCAAUAUAGAAAUUAAAAAGGCUUGUU